rnacentral:lncRNA from 1 species
AUGUCGUUGUACAGGGCUGCCAGUGGUACAUCUGUCUUCCUGGAGUUUCACCAAGGUCUGCAACAAGUGUGUGCACAGGAGUCGAUCCUGCACUUGGCUGUGGAUUUGGGUCAACAUGGGGAGAAAACCAGAUCAGAGAUCUCUUUAGCAAAGCCCCAUCAAGCUGCUGUGGAGCCUGGCAAGCUGUGGUCAGAAGAAUGUCGUACCUUCCUCCUAGCACUGGCAGGGGGCUACACCCUUUCCUGGAAGGCUCCUGCUGUUGCCUGCAGUGAGGCCACUUGUCCUGUGUCACACCAGGAUGAUCCUCACCCCCAGACAGGAUGGAAGGACCCGAGUGGGGUAGCCCACAGCCAGGAGGUGGCCGUCUGUGUGAAACCAGAGCGUCCCACGCCAGGCAGGAUCAGAAAGCAGGAGGAAGGGCUGGAUCUCUCGAGGUGGAGGAACACGCCGUCUGGUAGCUACAUCCGGACUGCUAAGGUUUCAAUCUGCUCCUUUCAAUGA